rnacentral:tRNA from 1 species
GCGGGUGUAGUUUAACGGUAGAACAGCGGCCUCCAAAUCCGCUGGCGAGGGUUCGACUCCUUCCACCCGUG